rnacentral:rRNA from 1 species
UGUGGCCUACGGGGGGCAGCAGUGGGGAAUAUUGCACAAUGGGGGAAACCCUGAUGCAGCGACGCCGCGUGGGCGAAGAAGUAUUUCGGUAUGUAAAGCCCUAUCAGCAGGGAAGAAGAAAUGACGGUACCUGAGUAAGAAGCACCGGCUAAAUACGUGCCAGCAGCCGCGGUAAUACGUAUGGUGCAAGCGUUAUCCGGAUUUACUGGGUGUAAAGGGAGCGCAGGCGGCACGGCAAGCCUGAUGUGAAAGCCUGCGGCCCACCCGCGGGACUGCAUUGGGAACUACCGGCCUG